rnacentral:rRNA from 1 species
UACGAAGGGGGCUAGCGUUGCUCGGAAUCACUGGGCGUAAAGCGCACGUAGGCGGAUCUUUAAGUCAGGGGUGAAAUCCCGGAGCUCAACUCCGGAACUGCCUUUGAUACUGAGGAUCUCGAGUCCGGGAGAGGUGAGUGGAACUGCGAGUGUAGAGGUGAAAUUCGUAGAUAUUCGCAAGAACACCAGUGGCGAAGGCGGCUCACUGGCCCGGAACUGACGCUGAGGUGCGAAAGCGUGGGGAGCAAACAGG